rnacentral:tRNA from 1 species
AGUUGGUAGAGCUCCGCUCUUGCAAUUGGGUCGUUGUUUCGAGUCCGCUUAUCUCCAGCCCGUGAUCAAUACA